AUUGAACGCUGGCGGCAGGCCUAACACAUGCAAGUCGAACGAGUGGCGGACGGGUGAGUUAUGUCUGGGAAACUGCCUGAUGGAGGGGGAUAACUACUGGAAACGGUAGCUAAUACCGCAUACUGUGACAUGGACCUGCGUUGUAUUAGUUAGUUGGUGAGGUAAAGGCUCACCAAGGCGACGAUACAUAGCCGACCUGAGAGGAUGAUAAGCAACACUGGGACUGAGACACGGUCCAGACUCCUACGGGAGGCAGCAGUGGGGAAUAUUGCACAAUGGGCGCAAGCCUGAUGCAGCCAUGCCGCGUGUAUGAAGAAGGCCUUCGGGUUGUAAAGCACUUUCAGCGGGGAGGCGUUACCCGCAGAAGAAGCACCGGCUAACUCCGUGCCAGCAGCCGCGGUAAUUC
rnacentral:rRNA from 1 species